rnacentral:lncRNA from 1 species
AGCGACCCAUUUAAGGGCGGUCCAUGAAUCGUCGUACGCGGCGGGAAGUGGGUGCUCGGGGGAUCUCCGGUAAUUGACUGAAACAGCGACGAUUUUAGCUUCGGCGACUAAGGCGUUUAAGUAAUUGUGAUACGUAGGAGAGAAGGCGCUUUCUAUGCAGAAGCCUCCGCCGUGGAAGUACACGAGGAGAGGGAGUUUCUGGGCGGAGGUGACGACGGUUCCGGGAACGUAAAUCCUUACGGAUUGGGCGAUUUCUUGGGAGUAAAGGACGUCUUUGGAUUCAACGUUGGUUUGGGGGUCGAGGCCUGGAGGGACGUUUUCGGUACCUGAAAGCCUUUUGAUGCGACCGUCCUUGUAUAAGCGAAAAAAAGGAGCGCCGUCUAUGAGUAUCUCCGAUGCGGCGGAUUCCAUGGCGGUGAAAAAGAAACAAAGAAGAUACAAAAGGCAAAGCACAAAGAUUACAAAGAUGGUGGAAUAUAUAAUAAAAGGAAAAAUGAUGAAUGGUGAAUAGAUUAUGGUGCAUUGUAAUGAGCUAGCGGCACUGUGCAUUGUAAUGAGCUAGCGGCACUCUCUUAAGAACCAAUGUUGCUUCAACCACAGUUAAGGUAUUAAUUUGGGGAGGAGUUUUAAAUCUGUUAAUUCGAGAAUUGAUAUUGAAAAUUUUUGUCGGGUAAGAUUGUUUUAUUAUUUUUAAUAAUUUUUUAAUUGGAUUAGCCGAAUCAAUGAAUUAGUGUUUGAUCAAUCAUAGGUUAGAUUUAGAAUACAUUGUUAAGAACUAGACUAGUCGGUUGGACCGAAUGAAUCAUUCUUUUUUAAAUUGAGAUAAUAUAAUUUUUGGCCCGUGAAUUUAGUAAUUAGAUCUACUUUGGUAUAUAAACUUGAUGCUUAGAUUCAUUUUGAUCACUAAACUUAAAAAUUAUAAAAAUUUGAUAAUGUGGUACUUAGAGUGUCACAUAUAGUGUUUUAAUAAUUGGACUAGUCUAUUGGUUCAUGAUUUAAUCGAUUUGAUUGGCUCAAUUGCUAGAUCAACAAUAAUUAAAAAUUCAUAUAUAUUUUUUAAAAAAACUAUUAAAUUGGUUUGACAUAUUCAACUAUUGGUUUUUGUCUUGAUUUUUUAUUUUUAUCGGUUUCAAGCAAUUUCUAAUUUAAUCAAUUCAACUCUUUUGUUUGGACUAGUAUAUCGGUCAGUUCUCGACCCAAUUGGUCCGACCAUCCAAUCCAGUUAUGUUCCAAGAACACUGGUCACAAUAUCAAAUUUUAACGAAAUAUUAAAUCAUGGGCCAAAAUGGAUUUAAUUACCAAGUUCAGGUACCAAAAUGAAUAAAAAAAAUACAUGUACCAAAAUAGAUCUAGUUGCCUAGUUCAAAGGGAAAAAAAUCAUAUUAAUUUUUUUUUAAAAAAAAUUAUUCAAUUGAAUCAACCAAACCGAUUCAACCUAUCAAACCAAAAAGUAAUAAUCUAACCAGUUUAACCAUCAAUUCACUUUUAAAGAUUUUGAGCCUAAUCAUUGAGGCCAUUGUCUUGUUUAAAAACUGACCUUAAAUUAUAACAUUUUUAUCAUUUAAGUAUUUAAAUUUUUUUUUUAUCAAAAGUAGUACUUAAACUUACUUUUGCGUUAAUAAAAUUCUUAAUGAAGAAUUGUAAUGGGUUAAAUAGGAUGAAAAUCAAUCAAAUUAAAAAUUGAUUGAUAUAACACGAAGAGACACAAAAAAAAUAGUUGAUUUGUAAAUUAAUAUAAACUUAUUGACCUCGACUAGAAAAAAUUAGUUGAAUAAGAUGUUAUAAUUUUUUUUUUAAAAUGCAAUGUUUUAAAUAAAUUUUUAAUAAAUUAUUUAAAACAUUGCAUUUUUGCUCAUCAAUAAUUUGUAAUAAGACAUGGAUGGCAUAGAUGAUAGUUUAUAUUUAUUACAGAAAAAGAUAAACGCAGGAGACAAUGAGGAAAACAUAAAAACAAAUGAAUAUGUUGAGAUUAAAAUAUUUAUCUUAAAAUAAAUGUCAAUUUUAAAAAGAAAAUUUUGAAACAUAGCAAGAGAAUUGACUUUGGAUAAAAGGACAAGCAGAUAGAUCACAAUCAAUUAAGAAUUAUUGAUGUUAAAAUAUUGGUUAUUUUUACGGAUAAGUUUUAGCUCGAUUGGUAUGGAUAUUAUUAUUAAUGUAAGAAAACGUAUGUUCGAGUAUGUCAAAGCACAUUAUCCUCCUAUUUUAAUUAAUAAUUCAACAGAGAAAUAAUUAAAAUAUCAAAUAUUAAUAAAAUUAGUGAUUAAAAUAAUUUAUUGUGAAAAUAAUUCAACCUACAUAUUAUAAAAAAGGAUAUCAUCCGAUCAACUCAAGUAAUCCAAACUUAAAAUAAAAUAAACUCUAAACAAUCCCAACCCAAAAUAACUAUAAGAUCAAAAUUAGCAAAAUUCAAAAAUAAUUCAAACCAAAAACAACUUUAAAAAUUUAAAAUCCAAAUCCGAAUCGAAUUGCUGGGUAUUGUUCAUAUUAUCAUCCAAAACACAAUUCAACACUAAAUUACUAUCCCAAUUAUACUUUUUUACAGCUACUUUUAAGCCUUACCCUGGUUCAUGAACUCUGCAACUUUUUUCAGCUUAGCCACAGCAUUUGAGCAACAGGGUUUGCUUAAAUGGAACACAUGGUCUUCCCCUUCAGCCUCCACCACCUCCACUUCACCAUCCCACCCACUGUUCUUCAACUUCUCGCAGUAGUACCAGCCCCUGUAUUUCAGUAUAUCGUUUUCAGCAACACAAAUCAGUACCCUUUUGCACCCUAAGAACCUCCCAAAGCUUUGAUCAUCAAUGGGGUUGAUCAAUGGAUCAUCGGACCCACUCGUUGUAGGAGAGGCCAAUCGCCAGAUCCCUUCGAUUUCCGCCCAUACGGCUGGGUUCUUAUCCUCAUCGCCAACCGGUUCUUUGCCCCAAAAAUAUGGGUGGCUUAAAAUCAUACCGACGAGAUUCAUACCGUCGAGCUUCUCCUUGCUGGUUUUAAUGGCGAUGUGGUGUGCUAUGUUGGCACCGGCGCUAUCCCCCGAGAGAUAAACGUUUUCGAAGUCGGCGUAGCGGUUCAACCACUGUUCGGGACCGUUUCCGUCGUAAUGGGAAGCCACCCAUUUAAGGGCAGUCCAUGAAUCGUCGUAAGCGGCAGGGAUAGGGUGUUCGGGGGCUCUUCGGUAAUCGACGGAAACGGCGACGAUUUUAGCUUCGGAGACUAAGGCGUUUAAGUAAUUGCGAUACGUAGGAGAGAAGGCGGUUUCUAUGCAGAAGCCUCUGCCGUGGAAGUAGACGAGGAGAGGGAGUUUCUGGGCGGAGGUGAAGACGGUUCCGGGGACGUAAAUCCUAACGCAUUGGGCGGUUUCUUGGGAGUAAACGACGUCUUUGGAUUCGACGUUGGUUUUGGGAUCGAGGCCUGGUGGAACAGUUUGAGUGCCUAAAAGCCUCUCGAUGCGACCGUCCUGGUAUACCCGAAGCAUCGGAGCGAAGUCGAUGCGGAUUUCCGAUGCGGUGGGUUCCAUGGCGGUGAAAAAAGAAAGAAGAUAAGGGAAGCAAGCACGAAGAUGGAGCUUGUUACUUGCAGGAUGAUAUAGUGGCUGAUGGCUCUACUUGGAUUACCAUAUAAGACAAUAUAAAAAGGUUUAAUAUACUACUUGGUACCUAAGUUUGGCUCUAAUGUUUAAUUUGGUACCUUAUUUUUUUCUCAAGAUCUCUUGAGUUUGGCUUCAAUGUCUAAUUUGAUACUCAGACCAAACGGCAUCAUGUGGACCCAUAAAUGUUUGAUACAAUACUCUAAUAAAAAAUAUGUACUUAAUUGAGAAAAAAAAAGACACUAGCAUCAAAUUGAACAUUUGAAGCCAAAUUUAGGUGCUUAAUUGGGACAAAAAGAAACUCAAGUGUCAAAUUAAAAAAAAUAAGUACCAAUUUGAGCAUUGAAACCACAUUCAAGUGUUAAAUUGAGAUAAAAAAAAUGUUAGAUAUCACAUUGAACAUUGAGAUCAAACUUAGAUAUCAAAUGUUAUAUUAAUCUUUAGAAAAAUAUUAAAAUAUUACGAUCCAUUAAUUAAAUGUAAUAUUUUUUUUCAAAAUUUAGAGUUGAUUUGAUUAAAUUUUAUUUAUAUUAUUAUUAGUUAAUUAUUAAAUUUCAUUAGAUCAACCCUAAAACCCGAAUUAAAUAUUAAAAGGUUAACAUCAUCACCAAAAGACAUAAUGACAAAUUUAGCCUUUAACAUUUACAUCUUUUAUCAAAUUAACCUUUAUUCUUUUUUCAAGCUAAAUUUGGUUCUCAACGUUUGAAUAUAUACAUAUAUUAUCAUUACAAUAUUGAAAUUAUUAUACAAUAUAUUUUGAUAGCCAGGUCGAAAAUUUUAAAAAAAUAAUAUCAGUGCGAAGAUUAAAGAAGAAAGCUGUUUAGAAUUUGGUUCGUAGAUUCGUUACGUUCAAAUCUAUUGCAUGAAGAAAAAAAAUUGAACUUUAAAAGAGAAAGAGAGUUUUCGAUUAGUGCAGACAGUGUGAACAGAGAAUGCCAUACAACAAAAAUUUUAAUAGCCCAAUGACUUAAAAAUGAAAACUUUCGAAAAAUUCAAUAAUCAUUUUAUAACUUUUUGAAGUUAAAUAACAUAAACGUAAAUUUACUAAUAGUUUAAUAACAUUAGGCAUAAUUCAAUUUUAAAAAAUUCCAAACUUUAGUUAUUAUAUAUGCAAUUUGAAGAAAAAAAAUGAGGGGAAAAUAUUUAUGACCAUCCUAGGUUGUUAGCAAGUGAGAGUUGUAAUCUAAACCUAAUUUUAUGGGAAGAUUAAAAUUGAAGUUAAAGUAUGGUUUAAUGAAAUACAUAUAAUAAAUAUCAUAUUUAACCUAAUAAAAUUAUCACAUUAAAAAAUUAAAGCUGAUUAAUUCAUCAACCUAAAGUUGGUUCAAUUAUGUUAGUUUUUGAGCUUUAAUUUGAUCAGAUUAAUUUUUGUAGUUUAUGGUCUAUUAAAUAGAUUUAAUAAAUAAAAAAACCAAUCGAAAUGGCUGAAAAACCGAAUGCUCACUCUCACCCUUUGAUAGGGCACUCGUGGGCAACUAUGCUACUAUUUAGUGGUUCUGGGACGACGACACUUUGAAAAAAUCUUUUAAAGGAGUCGAAAGUCCUUUCACAAUAUAUAUAUUGUUCCAAGUAAUUUUGGGUAUAUUUUUAUGUUUUUUUUAAAUAUUCGUGUUCAAUACAUGUAUGCAACACCCAAUGACGGAAUGUAAUUGGAGCUAGCCCUUAAAAAUUGAGAAAUUGUCAUUGAGCCUUUCAAAAAUUUUGAAAAUUUUAAAAGUUCUCAUUAAAUCUCAUGGUUUUUGGAAUUGGAUCGAUGGUCGAACCAAUCAAGUCAUCUGUUCCUAGUUCAACCAAUCUAGUUUCAAUAAAAUAAAUUAUUAAAAAUUAUAAACCCAGUUCAACUACCAGCUCAAUGAUUUUUUAUCCUAAUCUGUAAGUCAACUAGUUCUUUCACUUGAUCUAGACGGGUGUAUUAACCGCUUCGAUCUGAUUUCAACAACCAUGUUAAUUCUCUCAAAAAUUUUAAUUAAAUACCUAAAUUGAAAAAAAAAUUACAACCUCGAAUUUAUUUUUUAAAAAUUAAUUUUAAUGCCACAUUCUGUGAACGACAACACCUACUAUGUCUAUAUGCCAACAUUUAGGACAAAUGCAAAAGCAAAUAAAUUAUGAUUGAUUAAUGUGUCAUCGUUCAAACGAUUUACAUUGUCUCUUAUAAAAGUGAAAUUCAAUUUGAAACAUGCUACACCUACCAAUAAUUAAUUCCAACAAAAAUAUGUAUUCAAAUUAUUCCAUUAGUUGGAUUUGGUUUUGAGUCAAUUUAAUUAAUUUAGAUUUUAAAAUUUCUGGACUCGAGUAAUUUUAAAUUUAAAUUAUUUUAAGUUUGAAAUUUAAGUUUUUAAAUUGGGCAUUUCAAGUUUCUUAUGUAAACAAUUUCGAGUUCAGGUAAAUUUUAAUAUCAAAUCAUAUUGAAUUUAAAUUUAAAUUAAUCGGAUCAAUUUUUUCUCAAGGUUACAACUAGCUUAUCUUUCCCAAAAUGUUUUCUCAAACUGUAUUUAUAGCAUAAAUUUUUAAAAUAUCAAAUCAUAUAAAAAUUGUAUUUAUAGCAUAAAUUUUUAAAAAUAAUAAAUUUAAUUAAAUUUUAAAAAAUUAAUAAUUAAAAUAAGUAAAUUAAAAUAUGGGAAAGAAAUGCAUCACCAUGAGAGCGAAUAUGAUAAUAAUAGAAAAAAGUCAAUUCAGUCAAUUUUUUAAUUUACUUCAACCGAUUUCGUGUGAUUUUGCUCAAAAUUUGAUUCAAGUUUUUGUUCGUAUUGAUAUAUCAAACGAUUCCCGAUCCAACUAGUCCGAUUCAACUUUAACAACCAUGAAAUUAAUAGCUACAAUUCUUUAUUUAUAGGAUCAAUUUUAGGUUGAGCUCUUGUAUAAUAUUUGAGCAAUUUUCAAUUAUUUCAAUAGAAGUCUUCAAAGUAUUGUUCGCUUGAAAUUGAUAGACUUCUCAAGAUAUCUAAUAUUGUCUCUUGUUGAUGUUUUAUCUCUCAACUCUGAUAAGAGCCCAAAUGCUUGAAGCUACUUAAAGAGACUAUAAGUCCAAUAAAGAGCAUCUCAUCACAAUAGAUCGUGCAUGAGAUCGCUUAUCAAGGAAAUGUGAGCAUUUACACUUGAUAAGAUUUGAGUCAAUGCUCUACUAUAUAGACACUUACAAUCAACUAUCAUAUCAAUUAUGGGCAUAUGGCACCCACUCUGUUGAACCCGUAGUCUCUUUAAACAACCUUCGACACUUAAGCUAUUAACAAUAUCAUCAAGAGAUAAAACUGUUGACACCAUUUUUUUGGAUUAAAAACGGGGUCGACUUGGAUUUUGAAAAUAAAAACGGGAGUCGCCACCAAUCCUUUUUGAUGAGGUGUGAUUGGGUCACCUCGUAAAAAUGGUUGUUUUUAAUAAACGGUUUAAUUUUAUUAAAACAACGAGUUUGGUCCACGAAAUUCAGAAAACGGGUUCGGGAGUUGGUUACGCACGAGGAAGGAUUAACACCCUCGAUACGCCCAAAAUUAGUACCUAGUGGAUUACUUAAUGUCUUAAUGUCAAAAAUUGAGGACUGGGAAAAAUUAAAAAUAUGAUCCUUGUAUUAAAUUUUUUUUUUAAAAAAAGGGGAUAUUCCACGUUAAUCGAGAAAGAAAGCAUCAUAUCCAGUAAGUUAGGACACAAUGUCUCGAAUUCUCAACACGUAAAAAUGCCAAAAUUUUACUCAUUUAAAAGACAUUUUAGCCAUCUCGGGUUUAAAAAUAAGAUCACGACCAGUAAGUUAGGACGCGAUUUUUUCUUAAAAUCCCGAGAUCGUUUGAAAUUUGAGUUCGAAAAAUUCGUGCAUUUAGAUUUAUCGUGAAAAUCGAAACUCAGUAAGUUAGGGUACGAUUUUCUCGAAUCUAAACACGAAAUGCCAUUUUUAAAACAAAUCUUGUUAUAUCGAGUAAAAUAAAACACGAAAUCGUAGUAAAGAAUGUGAAAGCAAAUUACAUUUUGUUAUGCAUGGAAAAAUCAUAAUGAAUACGAAAGUAUAAAAAUGAUAUGAACAACGAUAACAACAUAAAAUAGAUAAAAAGUCAACCUUACAACAUAUAAACAAUAAAAUAUAAAAACGAAUAAAAAUUACAACAUGCAUUCAAAAUAAUAAUGGAAAUGAAAUAAAUAAAAAGUAAAUACAAAAUAAAACAAUAGUAAUGAAUAAAAAUAUAAUAUAUAUAUAUAUGUAUGUUAGAAUUAUAAAGUAUAAAAAUAUAUGUAUGUAUAUAUAAGAAUAUGUAAGCAUGUAUAUAUACAUAGAUUAUAAAAUAUAGAUAUGUAUAUAAAAAUGAGUAUUUGUAUUAAAUAAGUUGAAUAUAUAUAUAUAUAUACGUAUACAUAAACAAUUAUAUAAUAAUAAAACAUAUAUAUCUAGAAUUUACAUAAGUAAAUAAAAAUAAAAAUAACUAUAAUAAUAGUAAAGAUGAUAAUAGUAAUAAUAGAUAUAAUAAUAACUAAAUAAUAAAAUUGCUAAAAUAUAGGCUAAAUCGAAAUAAAAACGAAAAUAUUGGGCGAAAUCGAAAUUAAAAAGGAUUAUAUUGUAAUAAGCGCCAAAAUAAGGGGGACCAAAAUAGAAAAUAAACCAAAGUCCCCAAAACGCGGCGCAGCAGAGGACUAAUAUAAAACAGAAAUAAAACUUCGGGGCUAAAUUGCAAAAAUGCAAAAAACCGCCUCGACAGAGCCACAAAAUCGGAGGGACUUAUUGCGGAAAUACCCCAUUAAAGAAAAUACGCGGAUCCUCCCCUGGGUCGGGUCACCGCGCGGGUUAAAGAGGGCCUAAACGGCGCCGUUCUAUUUUUAAUAUAAAAAAUAAAAAAACCCAAAACCAUCGGAUUUUCAUUUUUUACAAAAAAAAAAAAAGAAAGGGAGGGAGAGAGAGAUGCUCUCCCUGGCCACGCAUCCGGCCUGGGCAUCCGGCGAGCCUCCGCCGUAGCGCCAUGAUGUGUGGCGGCCGGAGGCUCAAAAUCGGACCUUUUUUGGUUCCCUUUGUAGCCCACUGCUUCUAGGCCAGGAAUAUGGAGCCGAAACUCGUCAAAAAGGAUACCAAAGACUCGAAAACGAGCCGACACCCUUCGACUUCUCCCCCUCCGGCGCGGCGCAGGAAGAAAGGUACUCCCUUUCCUUUUCUUUUUAAAUGUUUCUUUGUUUGCUGGUGUAGGGAGAAAAAUGAAAAAUAAAAAACAAAAAAAAAAAAGCAAAUCAGAAACAAGAGAAUCGCAAAUCACCUUCAAACUUUGUUUUUUUUUUUAUUUCUGAAAGUGUUUCUUUUACAAGAUGAUAAAACAAAAAAAAGUCCAACCCCCAAAUAUUACAUAUUGUUGGCUUUUAUAGCCGCAUCUAUUGUUGCUGUUUUCUGCUUUUUGCUUCUUUGUUCCUUCUUUGUAGGUGACGGCGCAAGUGGCAUGGGAGCGGUGACGGUGACUGACGUGCGGCGGUGGCAGUGGCUAAGGGUAGGGUGCGGCGCCAGAAGACCAAGAGUCAAAGCAUGCGGCGCUAGAGGCGGCGCCUAGGGAUUCAGACUGAAAACCCUAGGCAGAUAUUUUUUAGGGAAAUUGGGCCUGGGCUAAUGGACUUCGGGUUUGUAUUGGGUCAGGAGGGUUUAGAAUUGGGUCAUUUGGGUUCGGCUGGUUGGUGAGGUUUUGGGUAGAUUUUAGAUGGAUUUAUAAUGGGCCGAUCGGGUUUGGGCUGGUUGGGUUAGUGAGUAGUAGGCCUAGGGCUAUUGGGUCAGCCUUGUAAUUGGGCUUAAGUAGGUUGGGCUGAAAUGGAUUAGGUCAAAAUGGGCCUGUACAAAAACCUCAACUAAAAAUAAUCCCGAACAUGUUAAGAAUUUACCGACUCUAAGUAAACGACAACUCAAAAACUUAUUUAAAAGGAGUCAUGAAAAUAUCUUUCAACCUACAUAUUAUAAAAAAGGAUAUCAACUCACUCAAGUAAUCCAAACUUAAAAUAAAAUAAACUCUAAACAAUCCCAACCCAAAAUAACUAUAAAAUCAAAAUUAGCAAAAUUCAAAAAUAAUUCAAACCAAAAACAACUUUAAAAAUUUGAAAUACAAACCCGAAUCGAAUUGCUGGGUAUUGUUCAUAUUAUCAUCCAAAACACAAUUCAACACUAAAAAUCAAUGGUUCAUAGAACACUAAAUUACUAUCCCAAUUAUACUUUUUUACAGCUACUUUUAAGCCUUACCCUGGUUCAUGAACUCUGCAACUUUUUUCAGCUUAGCCACAGCAUUUGAGCAACAGGAAUUGCGUAAAUGGAACACAUGGUCUUCUCCUUCAGCCUCCAUCACCUCCACUUCACCAUCCCACCCACUGUUCUUCAACUUCUCGCAGUAGUACCAGCCCCUGUAUUUCAGUAUAUCGUUUUCAGCAACACAAAUCAGUACCCUUUUGCACCCUAAGAACCUCCCAAAGCUUUGAUCAUCAAUGGGGUUGAUCAAUGGAUCAUCGGACCCACUCGUUGUAGGAGAGGCCAAUCGCCAGACCCCUUCGAAUUUUGCCCUUACGGCUGGGUUCUUAACCUCAUCGCCAACCGGUUCUUUGCCCCAAAAAUAUGGGUGGCUUAAAAUCAUACCGACGAGAUUCAUACCGUCGAGCUUCUCCUUGCUGGUUUUAAUGGCUAUGUGGUGUGCUAUGUUGGCACCAGCGCUAUCCCCCGAGAGAUAAACGUUUUCGAAGUCGGCGUAGCGGUUCAACCACUGUUCGGGACCGUUUCCGUCGUAAUGGGAAGCGACCCAUUUAAGGGCAGUCCAUGAAUCGUCGUAAGCGGCAGGGAUAGCGUGUUCGGGGGCUCUUCGGUAAUCGACGGAAACGGCGACGAUUUUAGAUUCGGAAACUAAGGCGUUUAAGUAAUUGUGAUACGUAGGAGAGAAGGCGGUUUCUAUGCAAAAGCGUCCGCCGUGGAAGUAGACGAGGAGAGGGAGUUUCUGGGUGGAGGUGACGACGGUGCCGGGGACGUAAAUCCUAACGCAUUGGCCGGUUUCUUGGC